GAGAGCCUGGAAGGAGCCCUGACUAAGAAGCAGUAACAAGCAAAUGAAGUCUGUGCUGUAAAGAACUGCCCCCAAGAAAUAUCGCCCAGAAGGAUGGAGGAACCACGCUCCCCAGACGCAGCAGAACUGUGAAUUGCUGUGAACGUGCCUCUCGCUGAAGUCUUCCACAGGGAAAUGGAAAGCACUUGCCUCCCUCAGAGAGGAUUAUGUGUGAAAAGGAUGGCAAAGGUCAGCAGAUUUCAGAGAUGUGCUGAAAUAUCCAUGAGACCCAAAGUGUAGGACUCCCAGUGCGAGCAGAAGGCUUGGCAUGUAGAAGAGUCUAAGAACAAAGCAGCCAACAUCCUUUCUCCAGAGACAAAACACAUUUUGUCUGUGACAUUCUUAGUCUCCAUCUGCUUGGGAGAGGGAAAGUUUCCCAUAUGGUACUGCAGUGGGCUAGUGAUUCACUCUAUUGACUCACUCCACAAAAUGCACAAUUGAAUGUUAAGUAACUGAAGUCAGCUUUAAUGGAUGCAGCAUAUGUAUACUUCAUGAAUGCAAAAUAUGUAAACUAUUAUUAUGUCACCUCUUUUUGUGCUGGUAGUACUGCAUUGAUUACUGAUUGAUUCCUAAUUGCUUAUUAAUCAGUUAUCAUGUUCUGAAUAACUUGCAUUUUGAAUUAUCAGUUUAGAAUCAAAAUUAGAAGUACAUCUGUUUCUGCCAUGGCAUGUUAUAUUUUACAUUUGUCAUAUUAUUUUCAGUAAUAUCUUGAGUCAAACAUAUUAGAUAAUCAAGAUAUUAGUGGUUUAGCUCUGAUGUGAAAGCUUAUAUUUCUAGAGAAAAGGAUGUCUUAGUUAGUCUUGUUCAUAUAUCACAAAUUCUGUUUUUUUAAAGAACAUUGGUUUUUCAUAGAUCUGUGAAUGUGAGGAUCAUCCAUAAGACAGUUUAUUAUGAGAUAGUCAGAACAAGUUUAAGCAGCUGAUGCCUAUCCUCAUGGACUGCCAGGCUCAUGAUACCACAGUGAUCUUAGUUAAUGAUCUGCAGGAAACUGCAGGACAAGAGAGACUUGAGGGAAAGUAUUCAGUUUCUGACAAGGAUGAGGGGCUGAAAGCUGAUUAGUCAAGUUGCAGGAUCAUUGCAGAGUUGUAACAGUGACAGCAUGUUUUAAGUAACAAAGAAAAAAUCAUGUCCAAGAUUUCUGGAGAAAAGAUUAACCAUGAUGUAUGCAUGUAAAGCCAUGCUAGUGCUUGGCUUUGGGAUGCUUUAGUGUGCUUCCUCAAACAAUGGAAAUGUCUGUCUGAUCCAUCCAAGCUGUGAAGUCUGGUGUCCGUGUGGAAUGGACAUAGGAAGUAGUGAGAUUUUGUAGAUCUUCAGGUUUUCAGUCAUUUUCUCCCUCACUUCCUUGACAGCCGAGCAGUGCUGGGUGUAUGAGACUCCCCUCUGAGGGGUGUUGCAGCGAUUGCCAAGCACUGAGGCCUGUGCCCUUCAUUUGCACCUCUGGGAUGUUCACCAAGGCCUGUCCAUGUCCUCAGCUUGGCAGGAUCCCAACUAACACCAUCCCUCAGGCUAGGCUGGGCAUGCUGGUCCUGCAGAUGUGCUCCAGCUGUAGCUCCAGCUGAGGCAGGAGGGAUCCUGACCAGUUCUGGAGCACCCCAGCAGUCAGGGUAGACACCUGCACUGAAAUAAGUCCAACUAACCAUGCACAGCUUCAGCAGACAAGGUAAACAAAACAACCGGAUUCAAAUUUGGAAAUUUCUCUCCUCCUCUCACUAAAUUAUCUGCAAGUAAUUGAGAAACAAACAUCUGCUUGUGACACCACUGCUUAUAAAAACUUGGCAUACCUCAUCUACUCAGGAAGACAAUUUUUUUUCUUCUUUACAAAGAAGUUACAGAAUUUGCCUGUCCUGUGCAGAGAUGUGCAGAAGGCUCUGUUGUAAACUCUGUAUCAAUGGAAAUCAUGAGAAACUGCUGGUAAAAAGGAGGUGGUUAUUUGGUUGUGAGAGCACUUGGAUUUAGUGGAAGCUUUGCUACACCUUUUUAGUAACUGAUUGCAGAAUUGGGACUGGGUGUAAGAGAAUGGCUUGUUUGAAUGUGAGAUAAAAAUCUGGUAUGGUACAGUCAGUUUCAAGGAUGAUAUCUGGAGUAUUAAGAAAUUGUGUCUUGGGGAAAGUAGGGGAAGGGAGGAACAGUCUACUUUCCUCCAGACUCAAGGACUCAGAGUAAAUAAGGGAAUUUAACAAAAAAUACCAACAUUUAACAAAUUUUAACAAAAAGACAAUUUUUUCCCCUUUUUUAUUAAAUGGGCACUCAUGGCAUCCUGCGCUUAAGUGGAAGUAAGCACCUAAGAUUUGCAGAUGCUCAUGGUUGAAAGGAUAAAAGUUAGAGAAUGUGUAAAAGCUUAAAAAAAGUUUUAUUAAUAAAUUAUACGCUUGGUAUGGAAAUUGGUAUAAAUCAGUCCCUUAUCUCUUAGUAUAAGCAAACAGCAGUGGGUUUCAAGUAAAGGGGUAGCGUAAAAGAGCAGAUAGAGAUGAAUUAAAGAGGUUGGAGACAGAGAAAGGAAGAAAAGCAGUAAGAAAGAUCACCAGUCCUGGUCCCAAUAUUAAUCCAGCUGAUGGAGUUUGUAGGGUACACAAGCUCUUGGGCUUCUUGGGGUUACAUUUUUAUAGAUAAGUUUUCCCCACCCUAGAGAUAAGUUAUCAUGUGCAGUCCAUUCUUCUAUAUCUUUCUGGAAAUGGCUUAGAGGACUACAGGGGUCAUUGGUGCUCUUGGUUAUCCUCUCCUGGGCUGGCUUUUGGUCAAGUGCCUGUUACGACUGAGUCGCAGACUCAGAUUGGCAGGGAAUCUGAGACCUUUAUUCAAAGAAACAAAAAGCUGCUUUUAUACAUUCUUCUAGACACUUCUUAAUUUCUUUAUAUGGUAUUUUUCAGUAAGCAACCUAUCACACACUGCCAUGUCAGUAACUCACUCUGAAUGCCCUUAUGCGUGGUGAUUGCACCAUCCAGGUGUUUGUCAGGCUCCUCUCCAUGGGGUGUCCACCCUGCAGCAUCUCCUGCCUCCAGGGCCACGCAGAGACAAGCCCCUCUGCAUGGCCAUGGUGCUCUGCAGGCACAUCCCAGAGCCUGCAACCCAAUUCCAUCUUGUCUCUCUCCAUGGACAGCAGCCCAGAUCAACUUCUUGACCUCAUUCCUGCACUUGCAUGGGAUUGGGUUAUGCUUAUCUCCAGGAGCCAGAACAAGAAAGUGCUGCCUCACCUCUGCAUGGCCCUUUUUCCAGCCACAUCCUGUCCUUUCUCACAGCAUGUCACUGCCAACAAUCCUUGGUUGGCUCCACAGCUAUCUGGGUAUGGGUGCUUGAGACAGGCACAUUAGUUUCUUCAUCUUCUAGGCUUCUACAGCACUCAAAGUUUUUGGAAGUCUAAAAUGACAUAGCUGUUGGGCUUCAGCCAUGCAAAACAUCUUUUCUAAUCUAUAUAAAAAUUUGAAAUGAAAUUAAAUUUACAACCCUAAAAUUAAAUUUAAUUUAAAACAUGAAGCAACUGUAAUUCCACUAUACCUAGAAUGUAUACACUGUGUAUUUGGAAUCCCCUUGGGCUACUUUUUAAUGACUAUUUACAUGGGGAUGCAUUUUUUCCUGUUCUUCUUGUGGAAAUGUAUUUUCUUAAAUAACUAAAUUAUAAAAUUUGAAACUUCUCUGAUCACAAAGUCAUUUUUUUUACUAGUCACAAAUAUUGUAACUUUCUACCUUCAACUUUUUCCCAUUUUAUAAAUAGUAUCAAUACAUAUAUAUAUACAUAUAUGUACAUAUAUAUAUAUACACUCUCAUGCACGUAUUUAUAUGUAUAAAUACUCUAGAGUGCAAGAAAACCCCAUUUAUAACACAGAUAUACCCAUCAAUCCAAGGAGUAAUUUUCAAUAUGGUUCAUAAACAUACCUAGCAGUGCUUCCUGUGUAAUGAAAAUUAUACAUGGUGC